CCAGAGAAGGAGGCACAAAGCAUGAACACCCUUUCACUUACAACUCCUUUUGUAAAAUGAAUUCUCUCUCUCUCUCUCUCUCUCUCUCUCGCCUGGAGGCUGCACAUUUUAAGUGUCCUUUGGGGUCUCUUCUUCUGCAAAUGAUCUAGCCAUUUGUCACAGCACAAGAAGCAGACAGUCCCCUGAGA